rnacentral:rRNA from 1 species
GACGAACGCUGGCGGCGUGCUUAACACAUGCAAGUCGAACGGUAAGGCCCUUCGGGGUACACGAGUGGCGAACGGGUGAGUAACACGUGGGUGAUCUGCCCUGCACUUCGGGAUAAGCCUGGGAAACUGGGUCUAAUACCGGAUAGGACCACUGCCUGCAUGGGUGGUGGUGGAAAGCUUUUGCGGUGUGGGAUGGGCCCGCGGCCUAUCAGCUUGUUGGUGGGGUGAUGGCCUACCAAGGCGACGACGGGUAGCCGGCCUGAGAGGGUGACCGGCCACAGUGGGACUGAGAUACGGCCCAGACUCAUACGGGAGGCAGCAGGGGGGAAUAUUGCACAAUGGGCGCAAGCCUGAUGCAGCGACGCCGCGUGAGGGAUGACGGCCUUCGGGUUGUAAACCUCUUUCAGCACCGACGAAGCGCAAGUGACGGUAGGUGCAGAAGAAGGACCGGCCAACUACGUGCCAGCCGCCGCGGUAAUAC